rnacentral:rRNA from 1 species
UCUUGGUCAUUUAGAGGAAGUAAAAGUCGUAACAAGGUCUCCGUUGGUGAACCAGCGGAGGGAUCAUUACAGAGUUGCAAACUCCCUAAACCAUUGUGAACGUUACCUAAACCGUUGCUUCGGCGGGCGGCCCGGGUCCUUCCCGGCGCCCAUCGGCCCUCGCGGGCGCCCGCCGGAGGUAAACCAAACUAUUGCAUUGUAUGGCCUCUCUGAGUCUUCUGUACUGAAUAAGUCAAAACUUUCAACAACGGAUCUCUUGGUUCUGGCAUCGAUGAAGAACGCAGCGAAAUGCGAUAAGUAAUGUGAAUUGCAGAAUUCAGUGAAUCAUCGAAUCUUUGAACGCACAUUGCGCCCGCCAGUAUUCUGGCGGGCAUGCCUGUUCGAGCGUCAUUUCAACCAUCAAGCCCCGGGCUUGUGUUGGGGACCUGCGGCUGCCGCAGGCCCUGAAAUGCAGUGGCGGGCUCGCUGUCACUCCGAGCGUAGUAGUUACAUCUCGCUCUGGGCGUGCUGCGGGUUCCGGCCGUUAAAAGCCUUAUUUACCCAAGGUUGACCUCGGAUCAGGUAGGAAGACCCGCUGAACUUAAGCAUAUCAAUAAGCGGAGGAA